rnacentral:lncRNA from 1 species
CGGAGCCGGAGGAGAAACUCCUUCCGAGAGCGGAGGCCGCAGUUAAACGGUAGCUGAGCGGCUGCGAGCGGAGAGCUAAAAGUUUCAUAACUCGGUAAAUGGAGCAGUGUAACGCUCAGCCGGGCCACCGGAGCGGUCAUUAUAAGAUUAUAAGGACACUGGAGUGCAUACAGGUCGAGUUUGUGAGUUUUUCUUGUUUGUAAAGAGCUUAAACGGAGCUCUGUUAACUUAUUAGCUUAGCUUAGCUUAGCUUAGCUUAGCCGGGCUAGUUAGCCUGGCGCGUGUUAGCGCGUCUCUCUCCGCCGCCCGUAAAUACUAGUUCUGGAUAAAAGGCAGAGUUUCUUUCUAACUCUCCCCGCGCUGCAAACAGCGGCUGUUAAACUAUAAACCAGAGAGUCUCCGGGUCUCCCAGCGCCUCAGAGUUCAUCUGACUCCGAGGGAAAAAGAACCAGGACGAGGCGGGAAAACUCCUCAUUCCGCUCAACGCAGAGGCUGUCAAACUAUAAACCUGAGAGUGCUUCAAGUCUCCGAGUGGCUCAGGGUUCCUCUGGCUACAAGGGAAAAACACCAGGACGACACCGCCCUCAGAUGACUCCAGCUCCUCACCUCGCUCAGCGAAAACUCAGGAUUCUUUGCUUAACCUGGCAACCUGCUGCAGCAGUAUGGGUGUGAGAGAGCUGUGGCCUACAUGAACAGGCAUUUUAUGAAGGAUUUUUGUCAUCAGCUGGAGCUACUGCCAGACAGCCUGCCACCAGCCAAAGUUGAUGCUAAUAAUUUUUUACAUAGACAUUUAUUAAAUUAAAGAUACGUUAUUUUCAGUUAUGAAUUAAGCAGUAGUUGACAGCCAGUUAGCUAGGACUGUAGUAAGAUCUAACCAAACGGUUCUCCAGGCUGGUUGUGCUGGUGUUACAUCCCCUUCAUUUGAAUUCAAAUUUUCUAUCUCUAAAUCAAACAAUCUUCUCUCUCUCUCCCUCUUAAAAAAACACUUUAAAACUUUCAGCAAACCUCUUUCUAACUCACUCUUAGCGUCUAACUCGCUUACUCCCUAUCCAACACCCUUGUUCUCGCUUUGUCUUUAAUUUGCUCGCUCUUAGCUAAUGGCGUCUUUCUCUCUCGCUCCAGUUUCUUUACUCGUAGCUACUGUCUCACUCUAACUCUAAGUGAGCAACUUACAGAGGGAGGGAGGGGAGCGAGGUUUAGCUUGGAGCAAGAGAGAGAGAGAGAGGUUAGCUAAGAGUGAGCCAGUUAGAGGUGAGUUGGGAGAGAUAAAAAGGUUAGCUUAGUGAGAGAAAGAUUUGUUUAGAGUGAGAAAGAAAGAGGUUAGCAGAGAAAGAGAGAAACAUUUUAGCAGUUAGAGUUAAAAAGAGGUUUGCUAAGAGAUUUGAAACCUGCUUGUGUGC